rfam:Capsicum annuum cultivar Zunla-1 chromosome 1, whole genome shotgun sequence
UAAUGAUAGUGAGAGCAAUUUUUGAGCAUACCCUUAAAUCUCUCCCAAGCCUAGUAGAGAUUCUCUCCUCCUUUCUGUAUGAAACUCAGAGUCUCCCUUCUUAAACG